CAAGCUUGUAACCCAAGUGGGGGCAUUAUGGUGUUUGGACGUUAUUCAAGCCCAACGGACUGGAUUCAGGUUUGCUACUCGCUGGCCUGCCCGUUCCAAGCAAAGAAUUGUGCUUUGUAGUCCAAGCGAAAGCAUGGGCUGCUAGGCUCUUAGAGCGGAGGGGACUGCGUCAGGCUGGUUUAACAGAGCAGCGAGAACCUCCCAUUCUUUGCAGUGGAAGGAUGACGGGCUACUGCUUCCUAAUCCAUUGAAGU
rnacentral:SRP_RNA from 1 species